ACCACCCCCCAGUUGAUCCUAAAGUAGUUAAAACCAUUUUCGUUUUGCAUGGAAAAUAGUGACCUGUGCCAAUUUUUGCGUUUAUCCCCGUUUAUUUGUGUCCAUUUAAGUAAAAAUAACGAUCUGUACACCUUAACGAGCUUAAUGAUACAAUUACGGGAGGCAGUGCAAACCAAAAGUGACAAAUUAUCGCCCGAUCGACGAAACCUGACUAAGUUGGUCAAGCCCUAGCCCUGAUGAAGAUGCCCCCCAAUAGCAUCGAAACGUUGGCAUUG